GACGAACGCUGGCGGCGUGCUUAACACAUGCAAGUCGAACGGAAAGGCCCUGCUUUUGUGGGGUGCUCGAGUGGCGAACGGGGGAGUAACACGUGAGUAACCUGCCCUUGACUGUGGGAUAACUUCAGGAAACUGGGGCUAAUACCGGAUAGGAGCUCCUGCUGCAUGGUGGGGGUUGGAAAGUUUCGGCGGUUGGGGAUGGACUCGCGGCUUAUCAGCUUGUUGGUGGGGUAGUGGCUGACCAAGGCUUUGACGGGUAGCCGGCCUGAGAGGGUGACCGGCCACAUUGGGCCUGAGAUACGGCCCAGACUCCUACGGGAGGCAGCAGUGGGGAAUAUUGCACAAUGGGCGGAAGCCUGAUGCAGCAACGCCGCGUGCGGGAUGACGGCCUUCGGGUUGUAAACCGCUUUCGCAUGUGACGAAGCGUGAGUGACGGUAAUGGGUAAAGAAGCACCGGCUAACUACGUG
rnacentral:rRNA from 1 species